rnacentral:rRNA from 1 species
UUUGUGGAGAGUUUGAUCCUGGCUCAGGAUGAACGCUGGCGGCGUGCUUAACACAUGCAAGUCGAACGGAAAGGCCCUUGCUUGCAGGGGUACUCGAGUGGCGAACGGGUGAGUAACACGUGGGUGAUCUGCCCUGCACUUCGGGAUAAGCCUGGGAAACUGGGUCUAAUACCGGAUAGGACCAUCGUUUAGUGUCGGUGGUGGA